GGAUGUAAGGGCGAUCUGGCUGCGACAUCUGAUUGACCCAUUGAUCGCCAGGGUUGAUUUGGCUGAUCUGGCUGGCUAGGUGGGUGUCCCCUUCCUCCCUCACCGCUCCAUAUGCGUCCCUCUCAAAGCUGCGCACUCUGUCGAAGACGACGGCCUUCCCCAGAUAGAGACGGACUGGUCUUUGGCCGAGGGUAUAUGAGUAGCUGCGCUCCCCUGCUAGAACCUCCAAACAAGAUCUCAAGAAGGGAAGGCAAGAUAGGGAGGGGGAAAGGAAGAGAGACACGUGUAACACUGAUU
rnacentral:snRNA from 1 species